UCCUGUUCCCAGCAGCGCCCGGCUCCGGGCGUUUCUUCGCUCUCCCACGGUCCGCGCCCGCCCUGCCCCAGCCGAGGGCACCCGCGCGGCCAGGGCCGCAGCUGGGAGCCCCGCGCCUCUCGGACGGCCGCGCGACUCGGUGACCACCUCGGAGGCCUCAGUGUGAGUCUCCGGAAAAUGCGGGUAGUCCCGCCGCCCUCCGUGUACUUGGGACCCUCGUGCAGUCCGGCCUUGGCCGUGAUUAGGGACCUCGGCCCCCGACAGCCCCGCCUUGCCUUCCCGUCUCCAGAGUCACUGCAGUCUCUGUCUCUGGGCUCCGAGUGGGAACCUCUGAGAAAGGCGGAAUCCGGGAGGUGGGGUCACAGAUCGCAGGCCCUUCUAGGAUGAGAAGCCCCCAGUGGGAAUCCAGGGCUGCAAAAAGGGAGGCGAGGAGGGGAUCUGAAAGGAUUGGACCAGCAGGGCUGUGGCCUGGAAGAGGUCGUGGCGGGCGGGUGGGGCUGGCCUGGCUUGGGCUCUUUCUUCCUCCCUUCCUCCCCAGUUUACGAGGCCUCACCUUCGGGAAACUCCCAUUAAGGGGACGUCGAAGGGCUGAGUCUUCCAACACUUUGGCCUUUUGUUCUACCUGUCAAAAGGAAAAAAAGACCCCGAAGUUAAGAAAUGGACCAACUGUGGAUUCUGCCUAUUGCCUUGUAGCUCGAGAAAAGUCACUGGAAGCACCAGUUUAAAAUCAAGCCUUGCGCCCUGGUGUGUGGCCUAUAACCUCCAUCUGACAUAUAACCUGCUUCCAUGUUAAGUGGAUCAAUCACACGCUUUUCUGGGAAAGCAGUCUCGAUAUUCCACCUAACAUCCUCAGGUAGAUCCUUAGGAUUUCCUUCUUAGGUGUAUUAUUAUUAUUACUAUUUUUAAGGGUUAGCCCAGCCUAGUCUCUCAGAUCACAUUGCUCCAGGUUCCUUCAAAUGACUGAUAUGAAUGUGAUGUUUUUAUGGCCUUAAGAAAAGAAAGAGCAACCCUUACCUAAUGAACUGUUUUCUUUUCUUUCUUGUUUUUUUUUUUUUUAAACAGGCCACUUGUAUAGGCAUUUGCUUUCCCAGCCCUGUUACUCCUCCAUUUUCAUACCUUCGCUAGAAGAACCAUGGUUUUAUCAUCUUGUAGGUUCCCUUGUUAGCAAGAUAAUAAGCUUGGGCAUGUGCUCAAUAGAAAUUUGUCUGAGACAUUUUUAUUUAUAGUCCCCUCUAUACCACUCAGAAAUACAAGUGAGUUAGUGUGGUGCCCUGAAAGGAGACAGGAGUCUUGGGGCCCAGGAGAUGACAGGGAUUUGUCCUCUCCAUCUUUCUCUAAUGCCAAUGGGCAGGAGUACUCUAGCUGGGAAGCUGAAUGUGCCCCAAGCCAACUGCUUGCAGAUGAGUGACAGUGUUUGGAAGCCUAUGGCUCUCGCCUUCUCUUCAAACCAGGUGCAUUCUGCAAGAUGCAGCAGCUGCCUACCCUUUUAGACACUCUGCCCUUUCUCACCGUCCUCCACUACCCCUCCCUCACUUAACCCCAAAUGGAAGCUCAGGCUGUCUGCCUUGUCUGAUAUUUCCUUUGGAAGAUGGAGAACAAAUACGCCCUGGGCAGUGACUGGCACUGUGUGACGUCUUGCUCCUGUAGCACACUGCACCUUGCAUAUGAUCUUUUAUUUUAUUUUUUUACUAUAGCCUUUAUUCUCUCUUUCCUAAGCUUGAUGUUAGUAACCUUCCAGGUCUUCCCUCCAACCCUGAGGCACUAUCUCACCAUAAGUAAGCAGAGGGUGGCCUUCUGACUUUGGGGUGGGAUUGAGACUAGAACCAAGUUAGAACUAUCUGCCAGAAACCCAGUUCAGUAACAGUCAAAGGAGCGAAAGGAUGCUGCUAAAAUGUGCCUUAGAGGGUGGGGGUGUAUUGGAUGAGUUUGGAUUUGGUUCAUGGACACUGGAGAUAGACUCACAAUGAAAGAGAAAGAAACAUGGGAAAAAGAUUAUGAGAGCUGGGGAAAACCUCAAAAUUAAUUUAAUCCACGGUGUGUCGUAGGUCACUAAGAUUUUUACACUCUUCCCUCCUGUAUGAGUCUGCUAGGGCUGCCAUAACAGAAUACCACAGACUGCAUAUCUUAAACGACAGAAAUUUAUUUUCUCACAGUUCUGGAGGCUAGAAGUUCAAGAUCAAGGUGUCGGCAGGUUUGCUUUCUUCCGAGGCCUUUCUCCUUGGCUUUCAGGUGGCCACCUUCCUGCUGUGUCCUCACAUGAUUCUCCCUCAGUUUGUGUUGUCUGUGUCCUAAUCUCCUCUUCUUCUAAGGACACAAGAAAUAUUGAAUUAGGAUCCACCCAUAUGACUUCAUUUUACUUUAAUUAUCUCUUUAAAGGCCCUACCUCCAAAUACAGUCACAGACUGAGGUACUGGGCAUUAGGACUUCAACCUGUGAAUCCAGCGGGGGGACUAAAAUUCAGCUUAUUUCUGAGGACAGAGAUCAAUGUAUUAUGUACAUUAUUGACACAGUUUGGGGAAUUCCCAGAAGUUAACCCCACAGAAUAUUUUGGCACAUCUCCCCAUCUACUCAGUAUUUGCAUAUUUCUAUUGCAGAAGAGACAUUUGGUUUUUAUUUCACUGUUUUUUGUAAACUAUUUCUGCCAGUUAAUUUAACUUCAUAGGUCUUUUUCAAAUGAAAAAUAUGCAAGUCUUCAUUAGCUGACAACAGCAUUUUAAGAAAAGGAUGGAGCAGGUAUUUCCUCUCCCCUGAGGCUGCUGAAGGAGAGAUACCUUUCCACAUUCUAAAACAAGCAGUCUGGUUAAAUGAAGAGUUAAACUGAGAACUUUCACAAGAAUUUCAGUCCAGUUCUUUGCAAUAAGAAGAUGAGUGAUUCAGAACUUUCGCUAACUUGUUCUCUUCUCUGUUUAAUAUAAUUUUGUCCUUGGAAGUGUUAUUUUUAACAAAGGGGAAUUGUUAGAUUCCUAAAAGUUUAAAAAUUGUUGCCGUGUCUUGGCAGUAUCUGUAUCUGUACCUCAGUAUCUGUCUUGAUAAUUUCUUGUCCUGGUGAUACCAUGGAAAGUCCUAUCUCUGUAUUCCCAAAAGUUAUAAAAUUACUUAGAAGAUUUAUCUGCCAGUUAAUAAUUUUCUUUCACAUGCAUGAUUUAAUAUGUGUGAUCCUAUGACUUCUAUAUUUUAUUAGCUAACAAAUUCUUUCUUUUUUUAUUCUUAAAAUAUCUUUUUUUACAUUAAUAGACUUUACUUUUUAGAGCACUUUUAAAUUUAUAGAAGAGUUGAGUGGAAAGUACAGAGAGUUCCUGUAUGCUUCUUCUUCCUCUACUUCCAUUUCUUCUAUUAUUAACAACUUGCAUUGUUAUGGUACAUUUGUUAGAAUUGCUCAGCCAAUAUUUACACAUUAUUAUUAACUAAAGUCCGUAGUUUGCAUUAGGGUUCACUCUGUAUACAGUUCUGUGAGUUUUGCUAAAUGCAUAAUGUCAUGUAACCACAUAUGUAUUGCAUACAUAGAGCAUACAGAAUAGUUUCAUUGCCCUAAGCAAUCCCCUAUACUCAACCUCAAAUAAUUUCUUUUACAUUAACACCACUGUGUGGUAAGAGCCCCUCCCUCGCCAACCCUCCUUGAGCUUGAUGGAAACAAAAUGACCUUUUAUCCCAACAGCCCUUUUUCAUUAUUUGUGUAUGUGUCUCCUACAUUUGUAAGGUCUCUGGAGAGUCAGCCACCUGGUGUCCUGAUAAACUUCCUAAAGAAAUCUUUCUAGGAGCAGUGUGAGGAGGACAGACGAGCCCUCUGGACUGGCAAGGCCACCGGCCAAGUACUGCUGCCACCAUGCCCAAGAGAAAGGCAAAAGGAGAUGCUAAAGGUGACAAAGCAAAGGUGAAGGAUGAGCCACAGAGGAGAUCAGCACGGUUGUCCGCUAAACCUGCCCCCCCAAAACCAGAGCCCAGGCCUAAAAAGGCCCCUGCAAAGAAGGGAGAGAAGCUACCCAAAGGGAGAAAGGGGAAAGCAGAUAGUGGCAAGGAUGGGAACAACCCUGCGAAAAACCGAGAUGCCACCACAGUCCAGUCACAGAAAGCGGAAGGCAGCGGGGAUGCCAAGUGAAGUGUGCUAUUUUGAUAGCUCUGUACUUGUAGUGACUCUGCUGUUUGAAAUACUGUUUUUUUUUAAAUCAACUUUUAUAAAAAUGUAGAAUUUUGUUUUUCUUUUUAAGUUAUAUUGUUAGCACACAGGACACUUUGUUGUCUUUUGUGGAAAGGGCAAAUACCACUAACAGAGUGUUUCAGAAGCUGGAUUAAAAUGGAGGAAAAUAGUAUUUUCUGUCCUCAUUUUUGAAGAUUAUUCUUGGUCCCUGGGAGAGAUUCUCUGACAUUCACACACGAGUCAGUCACUUUGGCUCAGACGCCUUACAGUGUGUGGAAGCAAAACUUCAUGUCUUUGCCUUUCCUGAUACCAUCAGCAUAUAUUUGACUUUCUGAACCCAAGAGUUAUGGUUUCAGAAAACCAGCAUCCCUAAAAUCAGCUGUGUUGGGUAAUAAUCCUCAGGCCUUCUGAUGAAGACAUCGACAUGGUGUUGCUCAAAAGAGCCAAGAUUCCUGUUUGCAAUUUGUGGAUCAUCCCAUUGAUAAUCCUGGAGUUUGUAGUUUUCUCCAAGUCAGAAAUGACCUGUGAAAAGCUCUUACAUGCCUCAUGUGAAAUAUCCACCCCUUCUGACAACUUUGCCUGUUCAAAGCAGGAACAGAAGACUUUGUUGACUUUUUGGGGAGGGGUGUUUGGAAGUUGUAAAAUGUUAUGGAUUGUCACCUAUGUCCUGCUGGAAAUAACUGUUUUUGAAAAGUAUCUUAUGGAGCUGUAUACAAGUUGGCUUGGUGGUAGGGGGGUAUCAUUUCCUACCCAAAGUCAUAAAGAUAUUCUUUACUGCCUUGUAAAAGUUUUACAGUUUUGCUUUUCAUACGUCUUUAGUCUUUAGAACUGGUUUUUGUGAAAAGUAUGAGAUAGAAGUUCAAUAUAAUAUAUUUUCCAUAUAGAUAAGUGGUUGUUGCAGCACCAUUUUCUGAAAAGUUCAUCCUUUCCUCACUGACCUGUAACACUGUCUCUUUCAUAAAUCAAGUUUGUGUGUUUGUGUGGGUCUCUUGAUGGUUUCUGUUCUGACUCACUGGUCAAUUUGUCUAACCUGUGGCAGUACUAUACAAUCGUGAGUAUGACAACUUUAGAAAAAGGUCUUGAUAUCUCAGGACAAAUCCCACCUCCACCUCCAACAUCAUCACCAAAUUUUUCUUCCUUGAGAGUAUCUUGGCUAUUUUUAGCCAUUUGCUUUUCCAUACAAUUUCUAGAAUUAGAUUGAGAAGUUCUAAAUCAAACAAAAAAAAAUGUUGGAAUUUUUAUUAGAUUUAUGGAUUAAUUACAGUGUUGAAUCUUCCAAUCCAUGAACAUGGUAUAGCAUUUAUUUAGGCUUUUUAAAUGUCUUUCAAUAAAGUUUUAUAAUUUUCUCCAUAAAUGUCUUCUUUUGUUAAUAUUUCCUGGGGACUUUAUACCUUUUGAUGCUCUUUUAUGUGGUAUAUUUUAGUUACUACAUUUUCUGGUUUUAGCUAAAGUUGAUUUUUGUAUCCAGCAACCUUGCUAAAUUCUCAAUUCUUAUAUGUCUGUAUACUUCUUUGGGUUUUCUGCCUAGAUAACCAUAUAUUCUGUGUAUGCAAACAAUUUUU
rnacentral:lncRNA from 1 species